CCUACGGGAGGCAGCAGUGAGGAAUAUUGGUCAAUGGACGAGAGUCUGAACCAGCAAAGUAGCGUGAAGGAUGACUGCCCUAUGGGUUGUAAACUUCUUUUAUAUGGGAAUAAAACGUUCCACGUGUGGGAUUUUGUAUGUCCCAUAUGAAUAAGGAUCGGCUAACUCCGUGCCAGCAGCCGCGGUAAUACGGAGGAUCCGAGCGUUAUCCGGAUUUAUUGGGUGUAAGGGGAGCGUAGGUGGAUUGUUAAGUCAGUUGUGAAAGUUUGCGGCUCAACCGUAAAAUUGCAGUUGAAACUGGCAGUCUUGAGUACAGUAGAGGUGGGCGGAAUUCGUGGUGUAGCGGUGAAAUGCUUAGAUAUCCCGAAGAACUCCGAUUGCGAAGGCAGUUCACUGGACUGCAACUGACACUGAGGCUCGAAAGUGUGGGUAUCAAACAGGAUUAGAUACCCUGGUAGUC
rnacentral:rRNA from 1 species